rnacentral:piRNA from 1 species
UGGGAUGGCUGUAUUCUAAGAUUGAAGC